UGCAGCGAAUCAAUUGCAGAGAGCGGAACGGUAGCCGCAGGUCGGGUAGGGAAGGGGAGAUCGGGUCUCUCGAAGCUCUUGGUAUGGGGCUGGUUUGGAAAACCCUCCCUCCACCUCCAUGUUGGUAGGAGUCCGGUGCUUUCCAAUACCUCCCAUGCCAAUGGUUUCCAGGCACCCCUCCCUUUCCCUCGCCGAGCCCUCCUCCUCCAUGAGAAGUGAUUCGGUGAGGGGAGGUGGGAGAGGAAGCACUGGCUCCCCGAAAGCCGUGGGGAUGGGGGCAUCUGCAAGUCCAUGCCUGCUCUUCCUGCUUCGGAUGCUGUCUGUUGGCGGGAAGAUGCAGGCGCUGGUUCUUGCCGAUUCCUCCCAUCCCUAUGGUUUCUGGCAGCUCCUUCCUCUCCCUUCCGCCUGUUGUGGCGCUCUCUUAUCACUCAUACCGUAUCCAUGGAGGCUCUGCUUUCACCUCCUUCUCCAGGAGAUAACGUGGAAGGCUCGCUGCUUCUGUUCGUGGAUGAUCUAUAUAUGGAUAUUGUUGCUGCUUUGAGUUUUAAGGGAUUCGAAUUGUGUGAAGAAACACACUUAAAUGUUCCAUUUCUUUGAUCUGCUUUACUUCGUUGUCAUGGUAGUUUAUUGGUUAUCUUGGAGAAGCUUCAAGCGACACAUCGAUGACUGAGCAAUUGAGGCGAGUUAUGAAAUGAGCAACUCCAUUAAUGAGAUCGAAGCAUGGUUGGUCUCAGUCGAGCUUUAAGCUGAAUCCGGACUCGAGGGAGCGGAUACACGACAUGCUUUACUGUUGCAAGGUCAAACGAGGCACUCUUCCCAACCGUACUCAACUGUCCAUUUUUGGGGUUUGAAAAUAUAUUUUUAUUUUUAGCGUGUGGUUAGGUUACGUUGGUUUGAGUGGAUGUGGAAUGUCUGAAUGUUCUGUAAUUAUUAUUUGGUAAAAUUAUAUUUUCAAAAUUUAUUAAA